rnacentral:lncRNA from 1 species
GCGCUGUAGCCUGGAGGCUCCGGGCGCGGGGAAGUCAUGCUCGCUUCACGGAGGCAAUAGCUAGCCGUGCAACAGAAAUAAACCAAAUGUGUUUGAACAUAUGUCAGAGGGCUGACAUAAUCAUAUGAAGAAUGCUAUACCAGUUUGGCUUUGGGACGAAAUGUGAAUCUACUAGGGCAACAUACAACUGCCCUCUGAGUCAGAAGAUCAGAAGUUGCUGUGGCUACACAUAUUAAGUGGUACAGAGUGUUGUGUGGAUCCAGAGGGAGAAAAAGGCCAUUGGUGUUAAU